UUUAUCUUUUAAACAUUUUACUUCCAAAUCUAUAGUUAUUACAUUUUUUUUUUAUGUUUUUUUUAUUGAAAAUUCAUUUUUUUUUUACCAUUGAUUUGAAAUACAGUACUUUUGUAUCUUAAAACGCUUUGCUUAAAUGGAGUUUCAAAAUUGAUGGGCAGCAGCUGUUUAACUAGAAAAUGUAAACGGCAAGAAGCAAAAAGGAUAGAUGGUGUGGUGCUAGUAAAAUGGUAUCAAUAUGAUCUAGUCUCAAUUAAGUUAGUCGCAGUUAAAUGGAGAAAUUGUUAAGACAAAAGAUUGCCUCUUUAACUUUUAUAUUAAAGUUGUUAUUUCCUUGUUAACUGUUUGUUGUCGUUAACAAAGCAAGUAAAAAUGGACAUAAUGACAACAGAUUUAUCUUUCGAAUUGUUUGCAAAACUUUUGGUUUGGAUACAAAGACCAAGUGAAAAUGAUAUUAGAAAGAUUGUUAUGGGUCUACAGCACUUAAUUUCAGCGAAAUUAAAUUAAAAAGUCGCGUCAUAGAAGACAGGAAAAUAUCAAUAUCUGUUUUCGAUAACUUGGCAUUCAUAGCAAAUCUGAGAAGGUGCAAAUGUUUAGCUUCUUUUAAGUACUACAUAAUGAAAUACAUCGCUUUACAGUUAUUUUGAUGGUCAUAAAUUUCUUUAGCAUACUUAUUUAUAUAUAUUUUUAGACUGUUUACCAUAUAUAUUUUAGACUGUUUACCGUUUGACUCCUGUCCCAAUUUACCUAGUAGGGGCAAAAAGAAAGGACUACGCUGGAAACAAGAGGGGAUCAGCUCUUUUUAAAUUAAUAGCCGAAGUCGUAACCAGCUCGUAUAAAAAGAUUUCUCGACGUGAAAUUUUAUUCAACAAUGCCAAGAAUCUGUGUUUGCUCAAGAAACAGAGGAGAAAUAGAAAGAUGAAAAAAUAUUCUGCUGAAAAA